rnacentral:rRNA from 1 species
CAGCCGCCGCGGUAAUACGUAGGUGGCAAGCGUUGUCCGGAAUUAUUGGGCGUAAAGGGCUCGCAGGCGGUUUCUUAAGUCUGAUGUGAAAGCCCCCGGCUCAACCGGGGAGGGUCAUUGGAAACUGGGAAACUUGAGUGCAGAAGAGGAGAGUGGAAUUCCACAUGUAGCGGUGAAAUGCGUAGAGAUGUGGAGGAACACCAGUGGCGAAGGCGACUCUCUGGUCUGUAACUGACGCUGAGGAGCGAAAGCGUGGGGAGCAAACAGGAUUAGAUACCCCUGUAGUCCCUGUCUCUUAUAC